rnacentral:snRNA from 1 species
GUGCUCACUUCAGCAACACAGAUACUAAAACUGGAAUGAUACAGAGAUUGGCAAGACCCCUGUGCAAGGAUAACACACAAAUUUGUAAAGUGUACCAUACUUUU